rnacentral:rRNA from 1 species
GGAAUCUUCCACAAUGGACGCAAGUCUGAUGGAGCAACGCCGCGUGAGUGAAGAAGGUCUUCGGAUCGUAAAACUCUGUUGUUAGAGAAGAACACGAGUGAGAGUAACNGUUCUUGUAUUGACGGUAUCUAACCAGAAAGCCACGGCUAACUACGUGCCAG